CGCUAUGCAUGCAGUCGAGCGAGGCUCCACCCUUCGGGGUGGAUGUCCUAGCGGCAAACGGCUGAGUAACGCGUGGGUGAUCUACCCCAGAGAGGGGAAUAACCCGCCGAAAGGCGGACUAAUUCCGCAUACGCUCCACCGUGUAAAGGCGGUGGUGGAAAGGGUUCCGGGCAACCGGCGCCGCUCUGGGAGGAGCUCGCGUCCUAUCAGGUUGUUGGUGGGGUAACGGCCUACCAAAUGCCAAAGACGGGUAGCUGGUGUGAGAGCACGACCAGCCAGAGGGGGACUGAGACACGGCCCCCACUCCUACGGGAGGCAGCAGCAGGGAAUCUUGCACAAUGGGCGAAAGCCUGAUGCAGCGACGCCGCGUGAGGGACGAAGGCUCUAGGGUUGUAAACCUCUUUUCUCAGGGAAGAGCAAGGACGGUACCUGAGGAAUAAGCCACGGCUAACUACGUGCCAGCAGCCGCGGUAAUACGUAGGUGGCGAGCGUUGUCCGGAAUUAUUGGGCGUAAAGGGUCCGUAGGCUGUUUUGUAAGUCUCCUGUGAAAACUCCAGGCUCAACUUGGAGCGGUCGGGGGAUACUGCAGGACUUGAGGCUGUCAGAGGAAAGCGGAAUUCCCGGUGUAGUGGUGAAAUGCGUAGAUAUCGGGAGGAACAUCAGUGGCGAAAGCGGCUUUCUGGGACAGUUCUGACGCUGAGGGACGAAAGCGUGGGGAGCAAACCGGAUUAGAUACUCGGGUAGUCCACGCCCUAAACGAUGGAUGCUAGGUUUGUGGGGUAUCGACCCCCUGCGAGCCAAAGCUAACGCGAUAAGCAUCCCGCCUGGGGACUACGGCCGCAAGGCUAAAACUCAAAGGAAUUGACGGGGGCCCGCACAAGCAGCGGAGCGUGU
rnacentral:rRNA from 1 species